CCUGUGAACAUACCUUACUGUUGCCUCGGCGGAUCAGCCCGCUCCCGGUAAAACGGGACGGCCCGCCAGAGGACCCCUAAACUCUGUUUCUAUAUGUAACUUCUGAGUAAAACCAUAAAUAAAUCAAAACUUUCAACAACGGAUCUCUUGGUUCUGGCAUCGAUGAAGAACGCAGCAAAAUGCGAUAAGUAAUGUGAAUUGCAGAAUUCAGUGAAUCAUCGAAUCUUUGAACGCACAUUGCGCCCGCCAGUAUUCUGGCGGGCAUGCCUGUUCGAGCGUCAUUUCAACCCUCAAGCCCUCGGGUUUGGUGUUGGGGAUCGGCGAGCCUUUCUGGCAAGCCGGCCCCGAAAUCUAGUGGCGGUCUCGCUGCAGCCUCCAUUGCGUAGUAGUAAAACCCUCGCAACUGGAACGCGGCGCGGCCAAGCCGUUAAACCCCCAACUUCUGAAUGUUGACCUCGGAUCAGGUAGGAAUACCCGCUGAACUUAAGCAUAUCA
rnacentral:misc_RNA from 1 species